rnacentral:rRNA from 1 species
AUCGAACGCUGGCGGCAGGCCUAACACAUGCAAGUCGAGCGAGCGGCGGACGGGUGAGUAAUGGCUGGGAAACUGCCUGAUGGCGGGGGAUAACUACUGGAAACGGUAGCUAAUACCGUAUACCAUCAGAUUUGCCCAGAUGGGAUUAGCUAGUAGGUGGGGUAACGGCUCACCUAGGCGACUAUCCCUAGCUGGUCUGAGAGGAUGACCAGCCACACUGGGACUGAGACACGGCCCAGACUCCUACGGGAGGCAGCAGUGGGGAAUAUUGUGCAAUGGGCGAAAGCCUGAUGCAGCAAUGCCGCGUGUGUGAAGAAGGUCUUCGGGUUGUAAAGCACUUUCAGCGGGGAGGCGUUACCCGCAGAAGAAGCACCGGCUAACUCCGUGCCAGCCGCCGCGGUAAUUC